CCCGCACAAGCGGUGGAGCAUGUGGUUUAAUUCGAUGCAACGCGAAGAACCUUACCUACUCUUGACAUCCAGAGAACUUAGCAGAGAUGGUUUGGUGCCUUCGGGAACUCUGAGACAGGUGCUGCAUGGCUGUCGUCAGCUCGUGUUGUGAAAUGUUGGGUUAAGUCCCGCAACGAGCGCAACCCUUAUCCUUUGUUGCCAGCGGUUAGGCCGGGAACUCAAAGGAGACUGCCAGUGAUAAACUGGAGGAAGGUGGGGAUGACGUCAAGUCAUCAUGGCCCUUACGAGUAGGGCUACACACGUGCUACAAUGGCGCAUACAAAGAGAAGCGACCUCGCGAGAGCAAGCGGACCUCAUAAAGUGCGUCGUAGUCCGGAUUGGAGUCUGCAACUCGACUCCAUGAAGUCGGAAUCGCUAGUAAUCGUGGAUCAGAAUGCCACGGUGAAUACGUUCCCGGGCCUUGUACACACCGCCCGUCACA
rnacentral:rRNA from 1 species